CCUACGGGUGGCAGCAGUGGGGAAUAUUGGACAAUGGGCGAAAGCCUGAUCCAGCCAUGCCGCGUGUGUGAAGAAGGCCUUCGGGUUGUAAAGCACUUUCAGUGGGGAAGAAAGCCUUGGGGCUAAUACCCUCGAGGAAGGACAUCACCCACAGAAGAAGCACCGGCUAACUCCGUGCCAGCAGCCGCGGUAAUACGGAGGGUGCGAGCGUUAAUCGGAAUUACUGGGCGUAAAGCGCGCGUAGGCGGUCUGAUAAGCCGGUUGUGAAAGCCCCGGGCUCAACCUGGGAACGGCAUCCGGAACGGUCAGGCUAGAGUGCAGGAGAGGAAGGUAGAAUUCCCGGUGUAGCGGUGAAAUGCGUAGAGAUCGGGAGGAAUACCAGUGGCGAAGGCGGCCUUCUGGACUGACACUGACGCUGAGGUGCGAAAGCGUGGGUAGCAAACAGGAUUAGAUACCCUAGUAGUC
rnacentral:rRNA from 1 species